UGAUCCUAAAUCAGCACAGCUUCUACUACUGAGCUGGUUGUGUGAAUGCAUAUGGGCCCAGACCUUUAAGUGAUCCGGGACAGGGACAACUAUCCUAAAUCAGCACAGCUCUACUACUGAGCUGUUGUGAAUACAUAUCAGCCCAGAAACCAAUGCCACCUUUUCUGUCAAUGACCGACAUGGUCAUUUAAGUGAGGUACUAAGUGAGUCUGAAGACAUUUAAGUGAGUCUGUGAAGACAUUUAAGUGAGGUCUGUGAAGACAGUUAAGUGAGGUCUGUGAAGACAUUUAAGUGAGGUCUGUGAAGACAUAGGUAAGUGAGGUCGGUGAAGACAUUUAAGUGAGGUCAGAAGACAUUUAAGUGAGGUCAGAAGACAUUUAAGUGAGGUCAGAAGACAUUUAAGUGAGGUCAGAAGACAUUUAAGUGAGGUCAGAAGACAUUAAGUGAGGUCAGAAACAUUUAAGUGAGUCGUCAGAAUGUACUGUGAAGACAUUUAAUGAUAGACGAAUUAAGUGAGUCUGUGAAGACAUUUAAGUGAGGUCUGUGAAGACAUUUAAGUGAGGUCAGAAGACAUUUGAGUGGUCGGAAGAAUUGUGAGGUCAGAAGACA
rnacentral:lncRNA from 1 species